rfam:Fragilariopsis cylindrus CCMP1102 unplaced genomic scaffold FRACYscaffold_26, whole genome shotgun sequence.
GCCCAUCUGGCGCAAUGGUAGCGCGUGAGACUCCUAAUCUCGAGGUUUCGGGUUCAAGUCCCGAGUUGGGUU